GUGCUCGCUUUGGAAGCACAUAUACCAAAAUUGGAAUUGUGCAGAGAACCAUGGCCCCUGCACAAGGAUGACACCCAAAUUUGUGAACUGGUCCCUAUUUUU